CGUCCCGGCACCGCUCCAGAAACCGGUCCCGGUCGAGCUCCGCCUCGGUGGACUCCCGGUUGCCCUCGGCGCAGGAAGCACCGCAGCAGUCGGGCUUCAUCAAGCGGUCGGCACCGACUCAGCAACCAAGCACGAGUCGGCACCGCGAAGCGUCGGCGGUUCGUCACCCAAGGCCGACCAGUCGUAGCCGUUCCCGGUCCCGCGACCACCGGUACCGUUCCAGGUCCAGGUCGGCGAGGCGCUAUUCCAGGUCCUGGUCGCGGAGGCGCUACUCCCCAAAACCGGACCGGCACCAUCCUACGGCUCCACCGUGGCCUUCCAGGUCACCGUCCAUGGUCUCAGGGACUGACUCAGACCGAUACGGCGGGUAUGCCCAUAGGUCACGGGGCAGCAGAGACUACGGUCAGUCCCAAUGGGGCCAACCGAGCCAAUGGCCAUUCUGGACACCGUGGGCCUACCACCAGCAUGGACCCCCAUCGAGGGCCUCGAGAUCCGGGCCAUCCGGGCACCGAUCCCACUCCCCGCGGCACCGUCCGCCAUCGUAUAGGGAGGCAACGGUCUCUAGACCGCCGGAGCGGGAAGGAGUGGACUCGGCACCGAGUACGGUGCCGUCCCAAUCCCACACUGCGGGUCAGGCCGCAGAGGAACAACUGGCUGAUGCCGGAUUGCUGGACCAUGAGGAUGGGCAGAAGGCCCCGACCUCUUCCUCCUCGCCAGACGAGGCGGUAGCGGGCACACUGGUGUCCGGCCCUCCCCCGAUCGACCAUCGGGCACACCAAGACCUGCUUCGCCGGGUAGCCCUCAAUCUGGGCUUGCAAGCUGAGGAGACUGUAGAGCAGGACGACCCCAUGGUCGAUAUCCUGAGCCCAGAGGGCCCCUCCAGAGUCGCUCUCCCGAUUAUACGGACAGUACAGUCCAACUAUAAGACAGUGUGGCAAACACCGGCCUCUAGUGCGCCAACGGCAAAAGGCGUAGAGAGGAAAUACUUCGCCCCAUCUAGAGGGUUUGACUUCCUCUUUCUACACCCGUCCCCCUGUUCGCUGGUGGUCUCGGCGGUCAACGAAAAAGAGCGGCAUGGCCAGCAAGCUCCUGCCCCCAAGGGCAAGGAAGCUAAGAAAUUGGACUUAUUCGGGAGGAAAGUCUAUUCAUCUGGGGGCCUUCAACUACGGAUCGCCAAUCAGCAGGCGAUUCUA
rnacentral:lncRNA from 1 species